UGACGUGACCGGAAAAGUUUACGAAGGGCGGGGUUGGAAGGUCCAGCCACAACUACCUGAGGCCUUCCAAGGUUUAGACAGGUGUUUGAACAUAUGUUAUGUGGGAGACUACAAGAGCGAAGACUCAAGCCCACCCUAUGAACAGUUUCUGGUGGGGAUGCGGUUAGUAAUCUACGGUCUCAAACAGUUUUAUAUAACUCCACAAUACAACUUAAUAAACUGGAGGGAUGAGUCCUUACCUGUUUCAGAAAAUUGAUUAAUAAUUGUGUAAAAAGUGUAGGUUAAAAUAAUUUUGUAAUUUUGUAAUAAAAAUGUGUUUAAAAUAU